rnacentral:rRNA from 1 species
UUAACGACUCUCGACAACGGAUAUCUCGGCUCUCGCAUCGAUGAAGAACGUAGCGAAAUGCGAUACUUGGUGUGAAUUGCAGAAUCCCGUGAACCAUCGAGUCUUUGAACGCAAGUUGCGCCCGAAGUCUUYUGGCUGAGGGCACGUCUGCCUGGGUGUCACGC